GAUGAACGCUGGCGGCGUGCCUAAUACAUGCAAGUCGAGCGAACAGAUGAGGAGCUUGCUCCUCUGACGUUAGCGGCGGACGGGUGAGUAACACGUGGAUAACCUACCUAUAAGACUGGGAUAACUUCGGGAAACCGGAGCUAAUACCGGAUAAUAUAUUGAACCGCAUGGUUCAAUAGUGAAAGACGGUUUUGCUGUCACUUAUAGAUGGAUCCGCGCCGCAUUAGCUAGUUGGUAAGGUAACGGCUUACCAAGGCAACGAUGCGUAGCCGACCUGAGAGGGUGAUAGGCCACACUGGAACUGAGACACGGUCCAGACUCCUACGGGAGGCAGCAGUAGGGAAUCUUCCGCAAUGGGCGAGAGCCUGACGGAGCAACGCCGCGUGAGUGAUGAAGGUCUUCGGAUCGUAAAACUCUGUUAUUAGGGAAGAACAAAUGUGUAAGUAACUAUGCACGUCUUGACGGUACCUAAUCAGAAAGCCACGGCUAACUACGUG
rnacentral:rRNA from 1 species